rnacentral:lncRNA from 10 species
CAAAAUUUUUAUUUUAAAACAAGUCAAGUUUUAAAAUAAAUACUCAGAGAAUAACAUACAAUAUGCAGAAAAUACAUAUUCUGAAAAGGUCACUUACUUAGUUUUGGUUAAUUUAAGGACCAGAAUUUUGUCUAUAGAGCAUGCUCUGUCCAAUGCAAGCGCCAUAUACAAUAUUUACAUGUGCUUUUAAGUAGGAAAUUUAUGAGACUGACUAAAGGAUUUAUUCAUAAUGAUGAAAUCCAUAUUCUAUAAUAAUAACUAUGUACAUUUUUUACUUCUAUAUAAACUAUGUAAUAUUCAGCAUUCUGAUAUUUGUCUUCAGUUUCUCCUCAUUAAGGAACUGAUGGUAACCCAUAUCAAUGUGGGUAUGAAAAUCGUCCUUUUCCUAUGAAGAUCACAUUUCAUGUCCAUGCAGUCUGCUAUCUAUUGACACUUCACCUUCUUGGUUCUGAAUUCUUAUUAGUGUCCACAGGUAAAUCUUGUUAAUCUGGUCCUGUUUUUCUUUGCCUCUCAGUGAACACUCUGAUAUCGACCUUCUACAGCUCUGCUCCCUCUUUUCUUUAAAUAAAAUUAUGACCUUCCUAUAGUCAUAAUUGACAACGGGUCCUCCCUUUACUUAACUCCUUGACACUUCAUGACAGUGUCAGUCACUGAAUGCCCAAUGUUUUAUGUAAGAUGUUAAAUCCAGUAUUUUGGUAAGCAACCUACAUAUUUUCUUUUAGACAGAUGUAAAUAUGGCAUAUUUUUACCAAAAAUAUAUUUUGCCUCUGAUUCCUCCUGACAUAUAUUUUUAAUGGCUGUUAGCAUUCUAUAAGAACUUUCAAACAUAAGUCAUAUAUAUAUAUAUAUAUAAACCAUUUGGGAAAUAAGAAUAAGAUAGAAUGUGAAAAUUAUUAAAAUAUCACAUAGGUCAGUUUUGCCCUCAGAUUUCCAAAUGAGAUUCACUUUCUUUUUUUUUUUUUUUUUUUUUUUUUGAGAUGGAGUCUUGCUCUGUUGUCCAGGCUACAGUGCAGUGGCACCAUUUUGGCUCACUGCAACCUCCACCUCCCGGGUUCAAGCGAUUUUCCUGCCUCAGCCCCCUGAGUAGCUGGGAUUACGGGUACAUGCCACCACAUGCAGCUAAUUUUUGUAUUUUUAGUAGAGAUCGGAUUUCACCAUGUUGGCCAGUCUGGUCUCGAACUCCUGGCCUAAAGUGAUCUGCCUGCCUCAGCCUCCCAAAGUGCUUCAAUUACAGGUGUAAGCCACCACACCCAGCUGUGAUUCACUUUCUAUGAAGCAAGAUUUCACUCUCUCUCUUUAAAAAUGUGUGUGAUGAGAACAUGUUUGGGGCCAAUUAAGAUAUUAUACUUCACAAAUACUUGCUUUAUAUUUACACCAAAUUAAAUCAGCAAAAUGUGACCAAAAUAAUCAGAAGAUAGCAAACUCUGAAGAGUAAGAACACAUGAUGUGCUUUCCAAGUAUUCACAAAAUCAUAGAAAGGGUAGAAAGGUUGAAAAACAUGGGAAAAUUACAACAUAAUGAUACAGACAAGCAAGGUAACAAGGAACAAUUCAGAAUGUGAUACAUAACUUUUUGACUUAUUAUUUUGAAAUAAUUUUAAACCUACAGAAAUGUUUAAAAAAUAUUCUUUAUCCAAUUUUUUAACAUUUUGCAAAAUGUAUUUUAUUAUUCUUUCUCUGAAAGUUUUGCUUAAUUCCUCAGCAUGUAUUGCCUGAGAACAAGAAUAUUUGCUUAUAUAACUACAAUAUAAUUAUCAAAUGCAAUAAGUGUAACAUUGAUACAAUACUUUUAUCUAAUUUUUAAAAAAUCUAUAGUGCAUAUUGCCAUUAUGCCAAUUGUUCGAACAACAUCAUUUAUAAUAUACUUUUUCUCUUCAUUCUAGGGUCCAGUCUAGGAUUAUGUAUUACAUUUAGAUAUUAUGUUUCGUUAGAAACCCUGAAGUCAUUUUGUUACAACCAAUUUUAAUCCAAACUCAUAAGGUUCUUCACCAUCCUUAUUCUAUAUUUGCAUCUCCCUUCUGUGAGUACCCUGGCUCUCAACACCAUCAAUACAUUUACUCAAUUUUGUCGAAUUCUGUAAUAAAAACAAAUAGGGUUUCAGAAUUUCUACACUCAUGUAACUAGAAAAAAAGAAACCUACUAAAAGAAUGUAAGAUACAGGGCCAAGUACUGUGCUCAAAUUAUCUGGAUUAGUUCUUUUUCCCCUUUUGGUGUGGUUAUGCCAUGUAUCUGAGAUACAAUUAUAUAUUUGAAAUACUGCUUGUAUUCCAUUCCAGGUAUUUUCCCUAUCUUUGUUGAUUUUACUUCCAUUUUGAAUAUGUAGAAUACUGACAUGCUUCCAAAUGUCAAAGGUGUACACAAAGGUAUACUCAGAGAAGUGUUCUUCCCUCCCCAUCCCUUCCACCACUCCCUCUCUUACAGGUAGCCAGUUUCAAUGUUUUCUGACUUAUCCUUAUGUUUCUUUCUGAAAAAAUCAGCAGAUACAUAUUUGUUUCCUUAUUCCUCCAUCUUUCUUAUAUAAUAGGUAGCUUACUCUGGAGAUUAAUACUUUGGUUUUUUCUCUUAAAACACAUUAUAGAAAUAACUUCCUAUCACUUCAUAAAGCUCCUCCUCAUUCUUAUUUGACAACUGUAUUGUAUUCUGCUGUGUAUAUGUAAAGUUUUUCAACCAAUUUCCUGUGUUUAGACAUUUAUAACUAUUUGCAAUUAUAAACAAUGCUAUAAUGAAUAAUCUUGUGCAUAUGUAAUUUUGUAUGGUUGGAAGUGUACCUUCAGAAUAAAUGAUCAGAAGUGGGAUUGCUGGGCUAAAGGUAAGUGCAUACAGUAUGUAGUUUUGUUUAAUUCUACUUUAUCUGAUAUAAAGAUUUAACCCCCUGAUUUUUAUUUUUUCCACUUGACUGGUAUCUCUUUGCCCAUAUAUUUAGUUCUAUCUUUUUAAAAUUUCUGUGUGUAUUUGGUAUGUCUUUUUUAUACAGUAUAGAGGUGUAUUUUGCUUUAUCAGCCAAUUUGAAAAUAUUUUUUUCUUUAAUAGGUGAUUUAAACCCAGUCAUAUUUUUUUUUUUUUUUUUUUUUUUUUGAGACGGAG